AUAAACGCUGGCGGCGUGCCUAACACAUGCAAGUCGAGCGAGAAAGUCCUUCGGGGCGAGUACAGCGGCAGACGGGUGAGUAACGCGUGAGAAUCUACCCUUCAGUGAAGAAUAUCUUCGAGAAAUCGAAGUUAAUACUGCAUACGUCCCUUCGGGGAGAAAGAUGGCCUCUUUGCUGUCGCUGAUGGAUGAGCUCGCGUACUAUUAGCUAGUUGGUGGGGUAAAGGCCUACCAAGGCAAUGAUGGUUAGCCGGCCUGAGAGGGUGAUCGGCCACACUGGAACUUAGACACGGUCCAGACUCCUACGGGAGGCAGCAGUGAGGAAUAUUGCGCAAUGGGCGAAAGCCUGACGCAGCGACGCCGCGUGAAGGAUGAAGGUCUUCGGAUUGUAAACUUCUGUUAAGCGGGACGAAAGGCUCACUUCUAAUACAAGUGAGAGAUGACGGUACCGUUAAAGAAAGCACCGGCUAAACUCGU
rnacentral:rRNA from 1 species